ensembl:lncRNA
CUUGAGUUAACAGUGAGACGCUGUUCAAUAAACACUGACAAUUCCAACCACCGCAUUAAUUUGUAUCUUCAGUUUUGUGCUAAUAAUGUUAUCUGAAGUACUUUAAAUUGAAAUAUCAUCAUAGCUGCUAAAAAUGCAGAAUUCUAUGACCCGGAAAAUGUGGAGGUCACUGAAGAAGGAAACUUUACUUCACUCUGCCUCUUCACCAAUUUGUUUUCAGUUACCAAGCUUGUUUUAAAAUGCCUUUGUAUGUUAUUGUACAGGAAAACACACAGACUCGUGACCCCACAGUUUCAACUUCUUUGUGCUUGAUAGUAUACAUGUUUCCUGUGUUGGAAGCUUGUCAUUAGUAUUUAAUUAAAAAUAUUUUUGUUAUUUCAGAGACAGUCUCUCACUGGACUUAUGGAAAUCCUCCUGCCUCCACUCAGCCUCCUAGUACUGGAACUACAUAUGUGUACCACUGUGUUCAAUAGUACAUUGAUCAUUUCAAUGGAAUUCAGUUUUUUUUUUUCUUAUUUUACAUACACAUCAUGGCUCCUGCCUUUGUACUAGCAAAGGUAGCUUUCUUUAAAAAAUAUUUUUAAGGUGCAAAAAAGAAAAAAUAUUAAUGGGGUAACAAAAAUUAAACAAAAAUCGUAGCCCACAUUUACAAUGUUAAGUGGAAAAGAAUGGCGAAAACCUGUGAUCCUAAAAGUGAAAGAUGAAGCCACGGUCUCACUGCAGGACGACAGACUAGUCUUUUGAGAAAUGAGCCUAUUAACCACAAAGACAGAAAAAUACGCCCACAAUAAAACGGGCAAAGGCAGAAUCUGCCUUAGUUGUACGCUAUUCUUUGAAGGCAAAUGCGUCAUGUACUGGGAUCAGCCUCAUGCUACACCUAGCCGUCCCAGGGUGGCCCCCUUGCUUGCACCCUGGGGAACACAGUGUACAGGGCGGUAGCGAAGCUGCAGCUAAAGCUAAGAUGGCAGCGCCCAAAGGACUCUAGCUGUGCUCACACGGGCUGAAAAAAAAAAUCCAAAUACUCUAUUUUCCCAUUUUGCAUAGUGCGCUGUGGAGCAAAAGACCCCGUUCCCCCCAGUACUCAGGCUGGGAAGGGCAUUUAGGAGUAGUAGAAUUCUCCGUUGACUUUGCGUGUUGGAAGCAAUUCAAGCAAGGAUCUGCAACAGGAUAGCUAACGUGGUCAUUGUGACUUGACUUGGAGACCCCCGUCCCCUACUCUUCCUCCCCUUGACCGUGGAAUGGUGACUCCAAACACCCUCUCCUUUCUGGUUUGUGCCCUGCUCCCCCGCAUCCCAGGGAAGCCUUCUAAAGUAGCUAGAGCUGCCAAGGCAGUAGCUGUGGCAGUUGCAGGAACCAAGAAAAAAACAGUGCAGUGCAGAGGCAGGAAGAGGAGGGGGGAAAACCCCGCUGCUGCAUUGGCUAUCAAUUUAGAGUUGGGCGACCGCUGCCGCUGCUGCUGCCGCCGCUGCCGUGGAAGGAAACGCUGCCAACCGCAACAGAACGCCACUCUCAGAUACCUCAAGACCGGCUUUCGGUUCACAGCUGAGGCCAGGAGCUGGAUGGGAACACACUGUGUAGUCCAGGGUGACCUCGAACUCAAGCGCGGAGACUCCAGGAGCUAGCCACGGUGACUCCUGGUUACCGAUGCUGCUUUUAAGAGAGUGAAGUAGACUGUCCUCACCCCCCCAACUCCAAAUCAAAUUGCCCAGAGGGCAAACGCGCCCUGGCCAGCUCCGGCACCGGCACCGGCACUCGCACGGCACCGUUAGUUCGUGUCGCCCUCGGCCGCACGGACCUGGGAACCGGUCCUUUGAGUGACAGACAGGCGCCUCUUACUGUCAGGUUCGGGUUCUCUCUCGGGGAGCGAACCGCAUUACCUGAAGAAGACGAAGAACGCGGCCACUGACAGCAUCCCCCGCACGGGCCAGGCUCUUCCUCGUGCUCUUGGGAAAAUCCGGAGCCGCGGACUCGGGGCGGCUUCGGCGCCGCCCGGCACCGGCAGCCCCGAGGCAGGCGGAGGGGCGGCGGCGGCGGCGGCGGCGGCGGCGGCGGC